rnacentral:rRNA from 1 species
AGUUCUCGUUGAUGAUCGGUGCUUGCACCGAGAUUCAACAUGGCACGAGUGGCGGACGGGUGAGUAACACGUGGGUAACCUGCCCUUAAGUGGGGGAUAACAUUUGGAAACAGAUGCUAAUACCGCAUAGAUCCAAGAACCGCAUGGUUCUUGGCUGAAAGAUGGCGUAAGCUAUCGCUUUUGGAUGGACCCGCGGCGUAUUAGCUAGUUGGUGAGGUAAUGGCUCACCAAGGCGAUGAUACGUAGCCGAACUGAGAGGUUGAUCGGCCACAUUGGGACUGAGACACGGCCCAAACUCCUACGGGAGGCAGCAGUAGGGAAUCUUCCACAAUGGACGCAAGUCUGAUGGAGCAACGCCGCGUGAGUGAAGAAGGCUUUCGGGUCGUAAAACUCUGUUGUUGGAGAAGAAUGGUCGGCAGAGUAACUGUUGUCGGCGUGACGGUAUCCAACCAGAAAGCCACGGCUAACUACGUGCCAGCAGCCGCGGUAAUACGUAGGUGGCAAGCGUUAUCCGGAUUUAUUGGGCGUAAAGCGAGCGCAGGCGGUUUUUUAAGUCUGAUGUGAAAGCCCUCGGCUUAACCGAGGAAGCGCAUCGGAAACUGGGAAACUUGAGUGCAGAAGAGGACAGUGGAACUCCAUGUGUAGCGGUGAAAUGCGUAGAUAUAUGGAAGAACACCAGUGGCGAAGGCGGCUGUCUGGUCUGUAACUGACGCUGAGGCUCGAAAGCAUGGGUAGCGAACAGGAUUAGAUACCCUGGUAGUCCAUGCCGUAAACGAUGAAUGCUAGGUGUUGGAGGGUUUCCGCCCUUCAGUGCCGCAGCUAACGCAUUAAG